UACAGAGGUCCCGAGCGUUGUUCGGAUUCACUGGGCGUAAAGGGUGCGUAGGUGGCGAGGUAAGUCGGAUGUGAAAGCUCGGAGCUCAACUCCGAAAUGGCAUUGGAAACUACCUUGCUCAAGGGUUGGAGGGGGGACUGGAAUACUUGGUGUAGCAGUGAAAUGCGUAGAUAUCAAGUGGAACACCAGUGGCGAAGGCGAGUCCCUGGACAACUCCUGACACUGAGGCACGAAAGCUAGGGGAGCAAACAGG
rnacentral:rRNA from 1 species